rnacentral:tRNA from 1 species
GUCCCCGUAACGCAGUGGAUAGCGCGCUGGACUUCUAAUCCAGAGGUCGCGGGUUCAAAUUCCACCGGGGAUG